rnacentral:rRNA from 1 species
UACGUAGGGUGCGAGCGUUAAUCGGAUUUACUGGGCGUAAAGCGUGCGCAGGCGGCCCGUUAAGACAGGUGUGAAAUCCCCGGGCUCAACCUAGGAAUUGCGCUUGUGACUGGCGGGCUCGAGUACGGUAGAGGGGGGUGGAAUUCCUGGUGUAGCAGUGAAAUGCGUAGAGAUCAGGAGGAACACCGAUGGCGAAGGCAGCCCCCUGGGCCUGUAUUGACGCUCAUGCACGAAAGCGUGGGGAGCAAACAGG